UGAUAAUGUUCAAUUAGACCAGUACUUCUCAACUGGGGUGUUUCCCCUCCCCCAUCUGGUGACUUUCAGCAGUGUGUAAAGACAUUUCUGAUUGUCAUGAUUUGGAGGGUGCUACUGGCAUCUAGUGGACAGAAGCCAGGAAUCCUGCUAAACAUCCUGCAGUGCAGAGGUCAGCUCCCCCACCCCCAGCAAAGAAUUACCCAGUCUAAAAUAUUAACAGUGUCAAGGUUGAGAAACCCUGAAUUAGACCAAAAGAAUACUUUGACUUCUCCGAAUUGUCUUCACUUAAGGAUAUAUAUACACACUGACAUCAUUUGAAAUAUGACUACAGUUAAAUGAGAAUGUGUUCUUAGAGUAGAUUGCAGUUGCUAUUAUUUUAUACUGACAACUCAUAGGUAUGCCAUACAUAUUGCCUUUUUCAUGGUUAGACGUAUCUAGACUAGGAGUAUGACUGUGCUUGUGUGUGUGUACACAUAUGUAUUGUGGCAUAAAGUUAUGCGUAUCUAUCCUUAUUGAAAUAUAUGUGUUCCUAAGUGAAGAUCUUUCCAGAAUUAUCUGGCAGAGUAGUCUGGAAUACUCUAUUACUAUUAAAAAGUUGAAAUCUAAGCACCUAUUAUUUUAUUUUGUUUAUCUGGAAUUGGGCCUCAUACUUUGACGAAUUUGGUCAAUUAUGUUUUAAUACUACUGACCCUUAACAUUAGCUCAGAAGAUACUCAGGUUAUGGGAGACACAGUCAGUAAUAAAAUAUUUCAUUAUUUUCAAUGCAUCUGCCUAGAGAGGAUGUCACCCUCUAAUUUUUUUAAAAGGUUUUAUUUAUUUAUUCAUGAGAGACACAGAGAAAGAGGCAGAGACAUAGUCCGCAGGGACCCCGAAGCAAGACUCGAUCCCAGGACCCCAGGAUCAUGACCUGAGCCAAAGUCAGAUACUCUGAGCCAUCCAGGCGUCCCAUUGGUCUAAUUUUUAAAUUUGCUUUUUAUUGACAAAAAUUAGGCUGCUCCAUGGGGGCAGUAGAAGAUAUAUCUUGAAAAUGGAUACCUGAUAGGAUUUUUACCUUUUAUCAGUCCCAAUUUAAGAAUUGCAUUGAUGCUAAGGAUCAUGAAUAAGGUGACCUCUGUUUAAUUUUAAUUACACUUCAGUAAAAUUAAGAUGAGUGAAGGAUGAAAUCAUUGUCUAAGCUAGAAAAGUGAUUUUUUUAUAUGAAAGAUUUUUAUAUGGAAGAAGAAAAUGGAAACCUAUGCUUUAUGUAGAGUCUGACCAACAGUUUAUUUUCUUUACUUUUACUUUUUAGAUUUUUAAAAUUUAUUUGAGAGAGCGAGAGUAUGAGUGAGAGAGACAGAGAAGGAGCAGAGGGAGAGAGAAAGGGAGAAGCAGCCUCCCCACUGAGCAGGGAGCCUGAUUUUGGGUUUGAUCCUGGGACUCUGGGAUCAUGACCUGAGCAGAAAGCAGACACUUAAUGGACUAAACUACCCAGGUGCCUCUGACCAACAGUUUAUACAGCACUGUGCAUCUAAACUACAAUCAAUACGUGAAGUUAAGUAGUGCCAUGGAAUUUUAUUCCUAUAUAGUUCACUUUUGUUUUAACAAAGUAAAUAUUCCAAAAUAAUAGAAAUGACCCCAAAUGGUAGAUAUUCAGACAAUACCUGUUUGGUUUUGCAAUGUCUCAUGUCCUACAAACCUUUUUAGAUUAUAUGUAAGUUGUACCUGGAGCAAUGGACAGCACAGCCUCACAAUCUACAUGGAAAUUAAUGCAAGAAAUCCCAGGGUUCCAAAUUGGACAAAAAUAUUCUUAGAUUCGUCAGAAGCUUUACAGAAGUGGUAUAUAUGAUUCCCAAAUAGAAAGCAUAUCAAGCAUAUUUCUUCUGGUCAGCAACUAUUGCAGUUUUCUAGUUUAUUAUAUGAAGCUUUCUAUUUCUUUGAAAAAAAUCAGCCGUCUAUCAUUUUGAGUUUCAUGUUUCAAAAUAUUGGCCUUGUUAAAUUUUUAACUGAUAAAUCUUUAUCAGGAGGGACUUCCAAGAAAAAACCCGCCACAGUCCACCAACGCCUUUAGGGAAUUCUUAAUGUGUUGUACAAAACCGUUCCCACCAGAACCAGGUAAUAAUAUCUGCUCUGUUUCUAGAGUGCCAAGGAUCAAGGGCUGGAAAGACUUUUGUGAGAACCUGAGGACAAAUAUGUGGAGGAAUAAGGACUGAGAGUAAUGUUGUGCUUUUUACUUCCCUCUUCUCAGGCUAGAGGUCUACUCUCAGAUUAUGACUUUUUGAUGAGCACACGUCAGGAAGUGGUAAACAAGUACAAGGCACCUGAAACUUCGGCCAAACCUCUAGCAAAGUCUGUAAUAACUAUAGAUAACUAUGACCAGCGAUUUGGGUCUGGGUGCCGGGAAGAGGAGGAGGCAAGUGGAAAGGAGGAGAAAACUGUACUCCCAAACUCUCAGAGUACCUAAGGAUAAGUCUCUGCCCUUGACCUUGACUUUCCAGCACCAUCUAUUUCUAUCCACUACCAGGGAAAAUGGCCUGACUGUUGGGUCAAGCUAGUAGCCUUGUGACUGGAGAGUUGGUGUGGAAAUUUGCUGAGAAGCUUAAAAUUUUAUACUGCCUUAAACAGUUUUUUUUUUUUUUUCUUAAAUUUGUGCUCUCUAAAUUUGGAUGUCCUGUGACUGAAUUCUGGUCACCCUGACCUAAUUAUGGCCCUGUCAGUGAUGAUUAAAAAUGGAGCUUUUUUCCCACUCAGAUGAAUUUUCUGAAUUCUUGAAGCUAGGGAGAUAGCAAAUAUAGUUGACCCUUGAAUGACACAGGUGAGAACUACACAGGUCUGUUAUACACAGAUUUUUUUUUAUAAAUAUAGUACAGUACUGUAAAUGUAUUUUCCUUAUGAUUUUCUAAAUAACAUUUUAUUUUCUCUAGCUUACUUCACUGUAAGAAUAUAGUAUAUUGUACAAAAUAUGUGUUAAUCAACUGUUUAUGUUGUUGAUAAGGCUUCCAGGCAAUAAUAGGCAUAAUAGUUACGGAGUAGUUAUGUUUUGGGGGAGUCAAAAGUUAUAUGCAGAUUUUUUAUUAUACAGAGGGGUUGACGCCUUAGAUCCCCGCAUUGUUCAGGAGUCAACUAUGUUCUAUAGUUCUCACAUAGUCUCUUUGAAAGCUGAGGAGACUGGUCCAAAAGAAUCCUGGAGCCUAGAAUGUUUGUUUGUGACUCCGAAAGAUGAGGACAGAAUAUUUAGGUUGAACACUGUAAGAUUCCUAUUUUGUAAGUGGAAAGAGAUUUAGAUGAAGCUACAAUUGCUGUAGACCUUUUUCUUCCUAUCAUAAGAAAAUGGUUUCUGUUGGCUUUAUCCACAGCCUAGGCAUGUCUCUUGAAUUAUUUACAUUCCUACUAGAGGUGAGAGAUUGAACCAAGUGCUUGAAAGGAAAGCUCAUUCAAACAUAAGACAGCCUCUGCUCAUCAUCACAAUAAAGAAAAAGUAUGUUUCCGUUUCCUUCUGAUUUUCUUCUUUCUGAUGCCAACAUUUCUGAUUUCUUCCCCCUAAGAAGGAAUAAAUAACAUUAUAAAUUGACAUAUAAUAUCUGUGAACAUUUGUGUGAUAACCAACUAUAACUUUUUUAAAGCACAAGAGAGGAAUUAUCUUUUGUUCAUGGUCAUUUAUUUGCCUCCCUCCUCUGUGUUCUUAUUGAUCUCUGCAUUGUGAUAAAGUCCUUUCUAAUUUUGCGUUCCUAUUAAGGCUGUCAGAUAUAAUCAAUGAUGCAAAGCUGCCUGGGACUUUUAUAGAAUAAUAUUCAAAUCUAUUGAUCAUGUCUCUUUCUGCUUCUAUAUAAUUAGAUUUUCUCCAGUUAUUUGUCAUUUUAAAAGCAUAUGUGUUGCGUGAUACCAAUAAACAUCUAAGAGAUAAGAGUUUAUCCAGAGCAGAGAAAAUUUGGAGUCAGAUAUGUCUGUUUUUCUCUGCAUCAUAAGUGAAAUGGAAAA
rnacentral:lncRNA from 1 species